rnacentral:lncRNA from 1 species
GUUUUCUUUUAUUGCUUAACUCAUGGGUUACAAUCUCAAUGAGAUGUACCCCAAAUGUUCUUUUAUUAAUUUCAUAGAAUAGAGAGGGGCAGCAUUAGAAGAUGACAUCAAAUAUAAUGUAGCUUGGUGAGUAUUGCAAUGAUUAGAACUUGCUUCUAAUUUCUGAUACAUACAACUGUAUGCAAAAUUUCCAGAAAUCGCAAUAAUAAGUCUCAAUCUACUUUUGACUUGGUUCCCCAUUUUGAUCCUUUCAGGGGUAAUUAUCAUAAACAUCAUCAAAAGUCAA